UCCGGUUCUUCACCAGCAGUCUCCUUAGAGUCCCCGCCUUUACGCGUUGGCAACUAAGGAUAGGGGUUGCGCUCGUUACGGGACUUAACCCAACAUCUCACAACACGAGCUGACGACAGCCAUGCAGCACCUGUCUCACAGUUCCUUUCGGCACCCCAGCAUCUCUGCUAGGUUCUGUGGAUGUCAAGGGUAGGUAAGGUUCUUCGCGUUGCAUCGAAUUAAACCACAUGCUCCACCGCUUGUGCGGGCCCCCGUCAAUUCCUUUGAGUUUUAACCUUGCGGCCGUACUCCCCAGGCGGAGAACUUAUCGCGUUAGCUUCGAUACUUAUGCGCUCUCGCACACCAACAUCUAGUUCUCAUCGUUUACAGCGUGGACUAC
rnacentral:misc_RNA from 1 species